rnacentral:lncRNA from 1 species
UGGCACCAUUCCUGGAGUUAGGCCUUCAACCAAAGAGCUGGGCCAUCCGUGGCAAUGCCUCCCAGGCUUGGGAGCUGGGAAAAGGCCCCAGGAGCUAGGGCAUCCUGAUUGUUCUUUCAAAGAAAUCCCUCUUGUUCUUAGUCAACAUGCUGGAUACCAGCUAAAAAAUGCAAAAUGAUCUUCAGGCAGGGAUGGCACAGGACCCUUGCUGAGCUGUGAAGCCUGGCUGUGAGGAUUCCUGCAUGGAAACAUCAACAUGUUGCCAGAUUGGUAUACGACUCAACACCACACUGACAUGCUGCUCCCAAACAGUGCCUUUGAAUCAAGACCCAGUCAUCGUAUUCGAAGAAAAAGGAAAUAUCCCUGACCAUGUUGGGACUUAACACUGCUUCACAGAGUCCAUGGAGUUCCUGGUGACUAAUGCCAUCCACAAGAUCUGAAGGUGUUGUGUAACCUAGACCUGGCCCUUCUCUCAGUGCAUCCCCCUCUCCAGAGUGACCAACUCAGAGAGGUCAUGUGCUUAAGGGAAGCUUUCACACCACAUUUUGUUUCCUGACAAGAGAAGGAGAAAUCGUUGGCCUCUGCGUGACAUGGAGGGUCCCCCCACCUGCAAGCUUUUGUGUUUGCUGGAUCUUGGACAGUACCCUGGCGAAAAGCAUUCGGCAAGAUUAUCCGGCUAGCACAGCCUUCAAGGAAUAAAUAUCUAACACCUUGUUCCCUUUUGCGGUUCAAAAGCCACUGUCACUGGGGUACAUAGGCAGUUUUAAAAAAGGCUACAAUUCAUAUGCAAACUAGAGGAGGAUUUCCAUGAUUUCAUAAUAAAAUGUUGAAACGCUUUGAUCUGGAGUUGUAAGGAGGUGUGAAACAGUGCCUCCGAAACAGACAGAUAUUUGUGUAAUCAUCCUUUAUGUAUUGCCAGUGCGGAAUAAUAACAUAUCAAAGCCCCAACCUACCUCAUCUGCCUGGUACAGCCAAGGCAUAAAUAAAGGGGAACAAUGGAAUUACUAUUACUCACUCUCCGAGAGCCAGCGACAUCACUGUAUCCUUUAUAAUUGCUGGCAAGAAGAUUAAUGUUUUGUUAAAUAUCAGAGCAAGGUCACAAGGGGGCUUGCAGGCCUGUCUAAACAUCUAGUCUUUAAGCUCCUUCUCCCUCACUUGCUCUUUUUUGCGGAAAUGAACUUGUAGCAUUUCCUCUAAUUAUGGUGAUUUUUGCUACUGAAAGCGGGCCUACAUCAUCGCUUGACUCUGAACAUGCUCACACACACAUGCAUGCAUGCUCACACACACAUGCAUGCAUACACACACACACAUAUACACACACACAUCUUCCCCAAAUAAUAUUUGGGGACAGGCCUGACUUAACUGCAGAAUAUGGGCAACGUUGUUAUGAGGUGACCUUGGCCUUUUAACCAACGUGGAUAAUUCAUUGCCUGUCGCUGUGCACAGCUCGUGCUUAAAAAGUGAACUUUAUUGGGGUCCUCAGGGGGCUCCCUAGCAAAGACUGGUAUCAUCGUUCAUUGCGCUUCUGUUUUGUUUAGCCCAUACGCCUGUCCAUACAGAUGUUUCCAACAGCAAACAGUUCAUGACCCAGAAAGAAAAAAAUAUUUUGGCUUUCCCCAGCUUUCAGCACCUGUUCAAACCAAAGGGACUUCGAAGCUCUUUGCACACAUCAGAAGGCCCAGCCAGCAAUUGAAGAGAGGCCACCUCAUGGCUGGAGCCAAUGUUGCAACCUGGUGGCAAACCCAAGCCCCUUCAAGCAGUGACUCUUAUUAUCUUAACUCCUAGAAGAAGUGUUAGCAGGAGAGAAACGGCAGAUCUCACAGAAAGAUCUUUCAUUAUGUAAAGAUCGUCACAUGCAUGUGUCAAUUUGUCUCACCACAUCAGAAAUUAACCCAGAUAUUUCAUGUUCAUCCCCUUAUCAUUUAUUCUGUAUUUUGGGGGGGGGGGCAAUGUCACAUCUUUGGCAUAGCAUUGGGCGCUAGUCAUUAGCCAUUUGUGUAAUUUUUGCAGGCCUGAGGUAAAUUUUAGAAAUUUUUCAGGAUUAAAUAAUUUCAGAAAUGUCUCUGGGGUUAGUGGAGGCUCUUUACUUGUUCCCAGAGGUAACAGCGACAACACUUAAAGGGUUUGGGAUCAACAAAAAGGUCUUACAAAUAUGGCUAAGUAUACAAUAGAAAGAACUAAACAGAAACUCUUACUUCUAUCAGAAUUUGAAAGGAUGAGAAGUUCUGUAGGUUGCAAAGGAGACACAAGGGCACCUUUCAAAGGGUCUGUUUAUCUCACCACUCCAUACCUUGCCUGGGCAAAGGGAUUUUACAUUGCAGCUCUAACGUUAAGGAGAUGUGCUUAUUUGUUUGUUUUUUGUUCUUGCAGCUCAAGGAGGAAUUAAGAAGUAAAAGAGACAGCUUGGAAUGAAGGUGGGUGUAAAAGGCAAUUGGAUGUGAAAGGGCAAAUGUCCUGACUUUGGGGACUUGCCUCAGCUUCACUAAUCUCAGUGACAGUUGCGGUAUAGAGCCAUAAUUACCGUGUGUCCUCUUGGCUCAGCAUAAAAAGAAUAAUAUUCCACCUACUAUUGAUGUCUGUGCUUCCUGUGUACUGCAGGCCCUCAAUAAACAUGUGUUGAAUCAAUAAAUGAAUGGAUGGAUGGCCAGUUGACUCAACGGAUAAAUAGGUGGAUGGAUGAAUGGAUAGAUGCCUAGAUAAGUGGCUGGAUGGAUGGGUGGAUGGAUGGAUGGAUGGAUGGAUAGAUGAAUGGAUAGAGGAUGGAUGGGUAAAUGGAUGAAUGAAUGGGUGGAUGUGUGGAUGGAUGUGUAGAUAGAUGGAUAGAUGAAUGGGUGCCUAGCUAAUUGGCUGCAUGAAUGGGUGAGUAAAUGGAAGGAUGGAUGAUUUUAGAGACUUAAUGCAAAGUAAACCAGACAAGUAAUCACUCAACUAACUAUGCCAAAGUUUGGCAAACCAUGACCCAUAGUCCAAGUUUGACCCACCACAUUUUUUUUUGCAAAUUAAGCUUUAUUAGAACACAGCUAUGACCAUUAUUUAGGUUUGUUUGCUUUCAUGAUCCAAGGCAGAGUUGAAGUAUUGCAACAGAAGAAGUAUGGCCUGCAAAGCCUAAAUUAUUUACUGUUUCUUUACAGAAUAAGGUAACUAACCACUGAGCCACAUUAUUACUAGAUUUUCUGAGUCCACACUACUUCUUCUCCUUGUUUUCUUUGUUUUAUUGAUAAAACAAACAAACAAAACACAUAGACAGUAAACCAAAUACACUCUUUCAACUUGUAUAAACUCUCAUAAACCUGCUGGGUGAUACAUAACUAAAUAAGAAUAUUUUGAUAAAACAAUGGCAGUAAACCAAGGCAACUGCUUCAUCUGUGCCUCAGUCAAAGAAAUGAUGAUCUUUUCCAAUGCAGGACAAAGAAAAGCCCAGGUGAUAAAUUUUUCGAUAACCUGCAGGGUGCAUACAAAAUGUAUUCUGUACUUUAUGUGGAAGUUAAGAAAAUUUUUCAGGGGCUAAUUUUGAGCAUAUUAUUAAUUUUGCACCUUAGUACAUUCACUUUACAAUCUAAGAAGCUUUUCUUGUGAUACCUUGGAACCUUAUAACCUUAGCUAAUAUAUAUGACAGGUGAGUUUAUUUAUCCUCACCGCAGUGUGCAUGUUGAAUCUUCUCUUUCUGCUGGGCUGGAAGGAUUAUCUUACUGUGCUUCCCAUGUUCUGGGAGGAGAAAUACAACAGCUGCUAAGAUAAGAUGAAUUUAACUUUAUGCUCUUUAGGUCAGUAAUGAACACAGAGCAAAGGCAGAAGGAUCAAAAGAACACGUGGGGUUUUCCAAGAAAGCAGAACUACUAGAAGCUACCACAUGGAAAGUCUAGCUUGAGAUUUCCAUACCUUAGACCACAAUGCUGCAUGAACUUGGCAAAGAUCCACAAGCAAGAAGGGCAAUGGGGGGAAUAGGGGUUGAAGGCAGAUAUGUUGGGAAAGCAGAUAUGAGUUGUUGUAUUCCAUUUGUAAUGGUCAUAUCCUAUAUAAUACGAUGUUGUCACUGCUUUUUCCAUGUCAGUGCAAGAACCUUGCUAACCAUCAGGUAACUGCAACCUGACUCCCAUUAACAAAAUGUCAGUGUAGAGUAGGCAGGUUCUUUGAUGGCAGUGGUCCCCACCUCCUAUUAAUUAUGCCCUUGUUUAAGCCCCUUUCCUUGAAUGUGAGCUGAACCUAGUGACUUGCUUACAAUAAAUAGAAUAUCGCAGAAGUGGUAAGAUGUUGUUUCGGAGGGUGGGUUACAAAAGAUGGCAAUUUCUGUUUUGCUUACUGAUAUGGUUUGUCUAUGUCUCCAUCCAAAUCUCAUCUUUAAUUAUAGUUCCCAUAAUCUCUACAUGCCAUGGGAGGGACAAGGUGGAGAUAAUUGAAUAACAGGGGUGGUUCCCCCAUCCUGCUUUUGUGAUAGUGAAUUACUUCUUAUGAGGUGUGAUAGUUUUAUAAGGGGCUUCUCCCUUUGUUUGGCACUCAUUCUUCUCCUUCCUGCUACCAUGUGAAGAAGGAAUUGUUUGCUUCCCCUUCUGCCAUGAUUGUAAGUUUCCCGAGGCCUCCUCAGCCCUGCGGAACUGUGAGUCAAUUAAACCUCUUUCCUUUAUAAAUUACCUAGUCUCAGAUAUUUUUUCAUAGCAUUGUGAGAACGGAC